CGCAAGCCUGAUCCAGCCAUUCCGCGUGCAGGAUGAAGGCCCUCGGGUUGUAAACUGCUUUUGUACGGAACGAAAAAGCUCCUUCUAAUACAGGGAGUCCAUGACGGUACCGUAAGAAUAAGCACCGGCUAACUACGUGCCAGCAGCCGCGGUAAUACGUAGGGUGCAAGCGUUAAUCGGAAUUACUGGGCGUAAAGCGUGCGCAGGCGGUGAUGUAAGACAGUUGUGAAAUCCCCGGGCUCAACCUGGGAACUGCAUCUGUGACUGCAUCGCUGGAGUGCGGCAGAGGGGGAUGGAAUUCCGCGUGUAGCAGUGAAAUGCGUAGAUAUGCGGAGGAACACCGAUGGCGAAGGCAAUCCCCUGGGCCUGCACUGACGCUCAUGCACGAAAAGCGUGGGGAACAAAACAGGAUUAGAUACCCUGGUAGUCCACGCCCUAAACGAUGUCAACUGGUUGUUGGGUCUUCACUGACUCAGUAACGAAGCUAACGCGUGAAGUUGACCGCCUGGGGAGUACGGCCGCAAGGUUGAAACUCAAAGGAAAUUGACGGGGACCCGCACAAGCGGUGGAUGAUGUGGUUUAAUUAGAUGCAACGCGAAAAACCUUACCCACCUUUGACAUGUGCGGAAUCCUUCAAAGAUGGAGGAGUGGU
rnacentral:rRNA from 1 species